CAACCCGCGAACUAGUUUAAAAAUAGGUGAUGAUCUCAAGUCCCUCCCUCCCUUCCCUUGCCGGAAGGGAGUGAGUGUGUGGCUUGGCAACCACAACCGAUUGCGCAAUGCAUCAACACUUUCAAUAUGACUGAGUAUAAAAAUUUCGGCGCCUUCGGCGCCCGAGUUGUAAUAAACAAAAACAACUCUCAGCAACGGAUAUCUUGGCUCUUGCAACGAUGAAGAACGCAGCGAAAUGCGAUACGUAGUGUGAAUUGCAGAAUUCCGCGAAUCAUCGAGUCUUUGAACGCAAGUUGCGCCCGAGGCUUGACCAAGGGCAUCCCUGUCAGAGCGUCACCGCGACACCCACCAACCCACUCCAAGUGAGCACUGGGCUGAGUGAAACUGGCCAUCCGAAUGGGGCCACCCGGGACUGAAAAUGUCCUCGCGGUGGCAGAUUGGGUUGGCUGAAAUGGAGGGAAUUUGGCCGCCGUGGUGACACAGCCCGCGAUCAGGUGAUCCACCCGGGAGUAAAAUCCCAGUUGGUCUCAAACGUGCGCGCGCUGUGCCUCCCAGUUGGUUUCAGAGUUCCAAAGCAGGUCCCUCUCUCCCCAUUCUCCCGAAAGGGGGUUUGUUUGGGGGGGAGGAAAACGUCACGCAUCAGACCUCUGAUCAGGGAAGACUACCCGCUGAG
rnacentral:rRNA from 1 species